rnacentral:rRNA from 1 species
UAAGUUUGAUGGCGACCGGCGCACGGGUGAGUAACACGUAUCCGAACCUGCCGAUGACUCGGGGAUAGCCUUUCGAAAGAAAGAUUAAUACCCGAUGGCAUAGUUCUUCCGCAUGGUAGAACUAUUAAAGAAUUUCGGUCAUCGAUGGGGAUGCGUUCCAUUAGGUUGUUGGCGGGGUAACGGCCCACCAAGCCUUCGAUGGAUAGGGGUUCUGAGAGGAAGGUCCCCCACAUUGGAACUGAGACACGGUCCAAACUCCUACGGGAGGCAGCAUG